rnacentral:lncRNA from 1 species
AAAAAGAAUGCUGCAUUGAAACUGAUUAAUGACAAUAAAUAUAUAAUUAACAAAUCCUUCUCUCCCUCCUUCCAAAUAAACUCGGUUGUCUCUCUCUCUCUUAUACCAAGCACGCAUUCUUUCUCUCUCUCUUGCCAAGCGUGAAAAAACAAAAAAAAAUCCAGAUCCUCAUUGUUCAGAUCUCAAAUCGUUCAUGCAACAAAGAUAUAUAUCUCAACCAAACUCCAUCAAAUGAAACAUACCUCAGAAUCCAUGAACACACACAAACAAGCAUAUGCAAAUCAAUACUCAUAUCCUAUUUUGAACCCUGACACCCCAUUUCCAAUACUUUGUCUUUGUUUACAAACUACAAAUGUGAGAGAACAUUAAACCAACAAGACUAUUGAGAGAGAAAAAUAUAUCAAGCUAAUAAAAUGCUACCAAGAUGAAGAUUAAAGAGUUUCGGGGUCUCUAGGUACUUGCUGCUCUCUCUAUCUCCCUUUCUUCUCUGGGCUAUCCUCCUUCUCCUUAUGUUAUCCUCUUUUCUGUAAUGUGUUUGUGAGUGCAAUUAGAAAUUUUGGUUUAUAGUUUUGUGAAGGUAGGGUGAAAUUUGUGCAAUAUUUCGUUAUGAUUUUUUUCUUUGUAGGUGAUGUGAAGCUCUAUUUAUAGAGUGAAGAGAGAGUCUUGAAAUCGUGUGAAGAAUUCCUUCACAUGUGUGAGCAUUUGAGAUUUUGGAUAAGGAUUGAGAAAGAAAUUGUUAAGGAAGAGCUUCCAAAUCCCAAAUUUUGUGGGUGUUGUGCGUGAAAAAUUUCCUUCUUUUUCUUCUCAAUGUAAUUUUUGUCUUUUCUAAAUCUGAGCAGAUAUUUUUAGUGUAUUUUUGUAUUUUCUAAAAUGUAAUCUUCUUCUCCUUUUUUUACUGAUGUAACUCUAAGUUAAUUAUUGAAUAUAAUCCUAUUCAUUUCAUUGAUAAAAAACUUGUACUCAUGUAAAUACAAUGCACUCCCACAUGUACAUGU